CCUACGGGAGGCAGCAGUGAGGAAUUUUGCGCAAUGGGGGAAACCCUGACGCAGCAACGCCGCGUGGGCGAUGAAGGCCUUCGGGUUGUAAAGCCCUUUUCCAGGGGACGAGGAAGGACGGUACCCUGGGAAUAAGGUUCGGCUAACUACGUGCCAGCAGCCGCGGUAAU
rnacentral:rRNA from 1 species